GUGGGGAAUAUUGGACAAUGGGGGCAACCCUGAUCCAGCCAUGCCGCGUGUGUGAAGAAGGCCUUCGGGUUGUAAAGCACUUUAAGUUGGGAAGAAGGCUCGCUGGCUAAUAUCCAGCGGGAUUGACAUUACCAACAGAAUAAGCACCGGCUAACUCCGUGCCAGCAGCCGCGGUAAUACGGAGGGUGCAAGCGUUAAUCGGAAUUACUGGGCGUAAAGCGCACGUAGGUGGCUGCUUAAGUCGGAUGUGAAAGCCCUGGGCUCAACCUGGGAAUUGCAUUUGAUACUGAGCGGCUAGAGUACGAUAGAGGGAGGUAGAAUUCCACGUGUAGCGGUGAAAUGCGUAGAUAUGUGGAGGAAUACCGGUGGCGAAGGCGGCCUCCUGGAUUGAUACUGACACUGAGGUGCGAAAGCGUGGGGAGCAAACAGG
rnacentral:rRNA from 1 species